AUGAAUUGCCACAGUUGGAACUGUCGGGGAGGGGGGAACACCCGGACAGUUUGAGAGUUAGCGAUGUUGUGUUAGUCGCAUCCCCCCAUGUUUGUAUUCCUAUGUGAAACAAGACAAAAGGAGGUAAAGAUGAGGAGAUUGCGCGGUAGAUUGGGACUCAAGGGUUUUUCUGGAGUUGAUAGUAAUGGCAUGAGUGGUGGUUUGGCCUUAUACUGGAAGGAGGACUGUGUUGUUGAGAUUGUUAACAAGGAUGAGAGGCACAUUGAUGCCUCUGGUCAGGAUUCAGGUGGGUGA
rnacentral:rRNA from 1 species